rnacentral:rRNA from 1 species
GUAGUUGAAAUAAUAGAAUUGGAACUUGUUUGGUCAAGUAAGGGAAACUCAAUCAAAUUCAUAAUUGUCUCAAUAGAAUCUUUUCCUUCUUUUUUUUGUCUAAAUAUAGACAAAACAAAGUGUCCCUAG